rnacentral:rRNA from 1 species
ACGGCGAGUGAAGCGGGAAGAGCUCAAAUUUGAAAUCUGGCAGUCUUCGAUUGUCCGAGUUGUAAUCUAUAGAGGCGUUUUCCGUGCCGGACCGUGUCCAAGUCUCCUGGAAAGGAGUAUCAAAGAGGGUGAUAAUCCCGUACUUAACACGACCACCGGUGCUCUGUGAUACGUCUUCUACGAGUCGAGUUGUUUGGGAAUGCAGCUCAAAAUGGGUGGUGAAUUCCAUCUAAAGCUAAAUAUUGGCGAGAGACCGAUAGCGAACAAGUACCGUGAGGGAAAGAUGAAAAGCACUUUGGAAAGAGAGUUAAACAGUACGUGAAAUUGUUGAAAGGGAAACGAUUGAAGUCAGUCGUGUUCUUUGGAUUCAGCCAGUUCUGCUGGUCUACUUCCUUGGAACGGGUCAACAUCAGUUUUGUCCGGUGGAUAAAGGUAGUAGGAAUGUGACUUCUCCGGAAGUGUUAUAGCCUAUUAUCACAUACACUGGGUGAGACUGAGGACUGCAGCUCGCCUUUAUGGCCGGCCUUCGGGCACGU